rnacentral:rRNA from 1 species
UGCCAGCCGCCGCGGUAAUACGGAGGGGGCGAGCGUUGUUCGGAAUUACUGGGCGUAAAGGGCGCGUAGGCGGGAUGUCUAGUCAGGGGUGAAAGUCCUGGGCUCAACCUGGGGACUGCCCUUGAAACUGACAUUCUUGAGACCGGGAGAGGAUGGCGGAAUUCCCAGUGUAGAGGUGAAAUUCGUAGAUAUUGGGAAGAACACCGGUGGCGAAGGCGGCCAUCUGGACCGGAUCUGACGCUGAGGCGCGAAAGCGUGGGGAGCAAACAGGAUUAGAUA